rnacentral:rRNA from 1 species
UGGGGAAUAUUAGGCAAUGGGGGAAACCCUGACCUAGCAACGCCGCGUGAAGGAUGAAGGUUUUCGGAUUGUAAACUUCUUUGAUCAGGGACGAAUACUGACGGUACCUGAAGAACAAGCCCCGGCUAACUACGUGCCAGCAGCCGCGGUAAUACGUAGGGGGCGAGCGUUGUCCGGAUUUACUGGGUGUAAAGGGCGUGUAGGCGGGGUCGCAAGUCAGAUGUGAAAUAUAUGGGCUUAACCCAUACACUGCAUUUGAAACUGUGGCUCUUGAGUGAUGGAGAGGCAGGCGGAAUUCCGAGUGUAGCGGUGAAAUGCGUAGAUAUUCGGAGGAACACCAGUGGCGAAGGCGGCCUGCUGGACAUUAACUGACGCUGAGGCGCGAAAGCGUGGGGAGCAAACA